GUCCAAGUGUUUAUUCCAUUUACCAUGCCAAGAGCAUCAGGCCUCAUGCCCACAUCGUUUUGCCAUGCCAAGAGCCAACCAUGGGACAUGUCAAGAUCACUAGAUGAAUUAAUUGGCAUAUUUAUAUGAUCAGUCAUUUAACAAAAUCCAAAAGUAGAGAUUAGCAAAUAUCAAAACUCCAACAAUAAAUUAUUAACCUAUACAACGCUAAAUCAAAAUCUCCAACACAACCUAAUAUGGAACCCAUUUAGAAAUUAUUCUUUCUAUAUCCAUUAUUUAUAGACCACCUAAAAUUCACAUUUCUGUGUCAUUUUCAAAGAAUUCCCACCCAUCAUCCAACAGCUCCUUGCGAUUAUUGCUCUCCUCUUCAUGUUGGCUCUCGGGUGACUGCGUAUCAAUAGAGGAUGCCAGACUUCUCCCUUUAGGGCUGUUAAAUAUCUUCCCUUGCUCAGGAAUCAGUCCAUCAGAUGCCACGCUUUUAAUAGAUGAGCCAGAUGAGGCUAAGAUACAACUUGUUUGGCUUGAGGUAAUAGAUUUGCUCAACAGAACACCCUCAUCAAAUCUCUCUUUCAGCAGUCUUACGUCCUGACAAAUAACAGAUAUUUCUCCUUGUAAUAUAUCAACGACUCGACCACGGUCCAUCAGAAACUCCCGUAGCUGCGGCAAAGCAAAAUUAGAAGGAUUAGUCACAACUUAUUAUCAUUCUUUUACCUGGUUGAGACCUUAAACUGCAGCAACUCUUGUUACCCUAAAAUUUUCCUCUGCCUCCUGCUGA
rnacentral:misc_RNA from 1 species